rnacentral:tRNA from 1 species
GCGCCCGUAGCUCAGCGGAAAGAGCACCAGUUUGCGGAACUGGGGGCCGGCAGUUCGAUCCUGCCCGGGCGCA